rnacentral:snRNA from 1 species
GGAUGUGAGGGCGAUCUGGCUGCGACAUCUGUCACCCCAUUGAUCGCCAGGGUUGAUUCGGCUGAUCUGGCUGGCUAGGCGGGUGUCCCCUUCCUCCCUCACCGCUCCAUGUGCGUCCCUCCCGAAGCUGCACGCUCGGUCGAAGAGGACGACCAUCCCCGAUAGAGGAGGACCGAUCUUCGGUCAAGGGUAUACGAGUAGCUGUGCUCCCCUGCUAGAAUCUCCAAACAAGCUCUCAAGUUUAUAAGCUACCCAGUCUGCGGUAUUUUAACAACCUGAACAGAUUAUAAUAAUAUAUAAAAUUGU